GUGGGUUCGAUGAAUUUUGGCUCUUUCCAACUAAAGCUGGCACAGAUUCUUCUUGCAUUAUUGACAGCUUCUGUUACAUAUGAUCACAAAGCAAUUGUUGUUAAUGGGCAGAGAAAGAUUCUGUUUUCUGGUUCUAUACACUACCCCAGAAGCACACCUCAGAUAUGGCCAGAGCUUAUUCAAAAAGUUAAAGAGGGAGGGUUGGAUGUUAUUCAAACCUAUGUGUUUUGGAAUGGCCAUGAACCUUCUCCAGGAAAAUAUUAUUUCGAGGAUAGGUACAAACUUAGUUAAGUUCAUCAAGGAAGUGCAGCAAGCUGGACUUUAUGUUAAUCUCUGAAUUGGUCCCUACAUAUGUUCUGAAUGGAACUUUGGGGUAACUUUGCAGCCAUCUUGAAGGCAAUGCAUUCUUUUAGUGCUGAAUCAGAAAAGGAGUUGAGCUUUUCAAAGGAAUUGUUGGGAUCAGAAGGGAUUGUGAAUAAGGAGGACUCUAAAUUUUGAAGGGUGUGGAGUUGGUGCGGUUGAGAGAAGGGCGUUUGGACCAUUUGGCAUU